rnacentral:rRNA from 1 species
UCCGUAGGCGGAUUGAUAAGUCAGAGGUGAAAUCCCGCAGCUUAACUGUGGAACUGCCUUUGAAACUGUUAGUCUUGAGUUAUAUGGAAGUAGAUAGAAUGUGUAGUGUAGCGGUGAAAUGCAUAGAGAUUACACAGAAUACCGAUUGCGAAGGCAGUCUACUACGUAUAUACUGACGCUAAUGGACGAAAGCGUGGGGAGCGAACAGGAUUAGAUACCCUGGUAGUCC